AUGGCCACAUCCGCGGAAAACGUUCCAGAGAGGGUUAACUCUUUCGCAGCUGAUCAAAUCGCACUUUCUAUGACAGGGAAUAUAUAAAGUGUCAAUUCGCUUUCUGCUGUAAUUUGGCUUUCUGGGUGGAACAAAUGCAGAUUGGAAGAAAUGGAGUUCAUGCUUGCAAGCAUCAAUUUCUUUAGCUUUGCGUGAAAUUUCAUCAGCUGUAUCAGUUUCUUUGGUUUGUUUUCUCAAGACUGAGUGAAAGUUUUCCACUGGAUACUCAUCGAAUGCAGAACAUCGAGAGAAUAAGAUCCCUGAUCAAUGUCCAUCCGCCAUAAAUGAUUUCAAGCAACAGAGAUGUACGCCAUGGUUUUGGUUUCUUAGCCAGCUUUGCUUUUUUCCCAAAGAUGAAAGCAUAAAGGUCAGCAAAAACAUUGUGAAAAUUCAAUAAGACACAUUCUCUUGCAUUUAAGGAUAUAUGUAGUGGACCAAUCAGGGGAACCACAUUUUUCAACACUGUUGGCACACUGGGAGAUGAUGAAUAAACCAACUGUCUAAUGAAAUAUUGCAUGGGCCAGUCCCCAACAAAGGGUGCAAUAAAGUCCUUAAGAUAAAUUUCCAAGCCACUUGUAAGCAUUUUGUUUAUAGCUGUUAGUGCAUUUUCUACAGAUUUGAGAGGUAACUCGAUGCUGUCAACCAGUUUGGUGUUAUCCAUGCAUGUAAUGUUAUGAUUCUCCACUUGUUGAUAAUCAUGAAUUAGAAGUCGUUGUCUCUCAGCUUCUGGAUCAAAAUAUUUUGAUAAUGCCCAGCUAGGCAUAUUUUCAGCAUAUGUUUUAGCUAAUUUUGG